rnacentral:rRNA from 1 species
CCUACGGGCGGCAGCAGUGAGGAAUAUUGGUCAAUGGACGAGAGUCUGAACCAGCCAAGUAGCGUGAAGGAUGACUGCCCUAUGGGUUGUAAACUUCUUUUAUCAAGGAAUAAAACGAGGCACGUGUGCCUUUUUGCAUGUACUUUAUGAAUAAGGAUCGGCUAACUCCGUGCCAGCAGCCGCGGUAAUACGGAGGAUCCGAGCGUUAUCCGGAUUUAUUGGGUUUAAAGGGAGCGUAGAUGGGUUGUUAAGUCAGUUGUGAAAGUUCGCGGCUCAACCGUAAAAUUGCAGUUGAUACUGGCAGUCUUGAGUACAGUAGAGGUAGGCGGAAUUCGUGGUGUAGCGGUGAAAUGCUUAGAUAUCACGAAGAACCCCGAUUGCGAAGGCAGCUUACUAAAGUGUGACUGACAUUGAUGCUCGAAAGUGUGGGUAUCGAACAGGAUUAGAUACCCUUGUAGUC